CAGUGCCGCGGUAAUACGAAGGGUGCAAGCGUUACUCGGAAUUACUGGGCGUAAAGCGUGCGUAGGUGGUGGUUUAAGUCCGUUGUGAAAGCCCUGGGCUCAACCUGGGAAUUGCAGUGGAUACUGGGUCACUAGAGUGUGGUAGAGGAUAGUGGAAUUUCCGGUGUAGCAGUGAAAUGCGUAGAGAUCGGAAGGAACAUCUGUGGCGAAGGCGACUAUCUGGGCCAACACUGACACUGAGGCACGAAAGCGUGGGGAGCAAACAGGAUUAGAUACCCGCGUAGUCCCUGUCUCUUAUUCA
rnacentral:rRNA from 1 species